CCUACGGGAGGCAGCAGUGGGGGAUAUUGCACAAUGGGGGAAACCCUGAUGCAGCAACGCCGCGUGAGUGAAGAAGGUCUUCGGAUUGUAAAGCUCUGUUCUUGGUGAAGAUAAUGACGGUAGCCAAGGAGAAAGCUCCGGCUAACUACGUGCCAGCAGCCGCGGUAAUACGUAGGGAGCGAGCGUUGUCCGGAUUUACUGGGUGUAAAGGGAGCGUAGGCGGGCGAGAAAGUUGAAUGUUAAAUCUACCGGCUUAACUGGUAGCUGCGUUCAAAACUUCUUGUCUUGAGUGAAGUAGAGGCAGG
rnacentral:rRNA from 1 species